CGUAGAAGACUAGUGUUAUUCAUCUUUAUUGGGUUUAAAGGGUACCUAGACGGUAUAACUAGUCCAAAAUAGGAUACGGUUUUACUAGAGUUAUAUUUAAGAUGGUGAGAACUUGUGGAGUAGAGUUUUAAUUUGUUGAUACCUUGAGGACUGGUAACGGCGAAAGCAACCUUCUAUGUAAUAACUGACGUUGAGGGACGAAGGCUCGGGUAGCGAACAGGAUU
rnacentral:rRNA from 1 species